GAUGAACGCUGACAGAAUGCUUAACACAUGCAAGUCGAUGGGGAAGUGGUGCUUGCACCCUGGCAACCAUGGCGGACGGGUGAGUAACGCGUAAGGGACUUACCUGCAGGACUGGGAUAACAGGGGGAAACUCCUGACAAGACCGGAUAAUGUCAUGGAGCUGCAUGGCUUUAUGAUGAAAGGAGACGCCUGCGGAGAGCCUUGCGUCCUAUUAGCUAGUUGGUGAGGUAAUGGCUCACCAAGGCGAAGAUAGGUAGCCGGCCUGAGAGGGUGGACGGCCACAAGGGGACUGAGAUACGGCCCUUACUCCUACGGGAGGCAGCAGUGGGGAAUAUUGGACAAUGGGGGCAACCCUGAUCCAGCAAUUCUGUGUGCACGAAGAAGGUUUUCGGAUUGUAAAGUGCUUUCAGCAGGGAAGAAGUAAGUGACGGUACCUGCAGAAGAAGCGACGGCUAAAUACGU
rnacentral:rRNA from 1 species